CCUACGGGGGGCAGCAGUAGGGAAUAUUGCUCAAUGGGGGAAACCCUGAAGCAGCAACGCCGCGUGGAGGAUGAAGGUUUUCGGAUUGUAAACUCCUGUUGUUAGAGAAGAAAAUGACGGUAGCUAACGAAUAAGCACCGGCUAACGCCGUGCCAGCAGCCGCGGUAAUACGGAGGGUGCAAGCGUUACUCGGAAUCACUGGGCGUAAAGAGCGCGUAGGCGGGUUUGCAAGUCAGAUGUGAAAUCCUAUGGCUUAACCCUAGAACUGCAUUUGAAACGGUUAUUCUAGAGUAUGGGGGGGGUAGGUGGAAUUCUUGGUGUAGGGGUCAAAUCCGUAGAGAUCAAGAGGAAUACUCAUUGCGAAGGCGACCUGCUAGAACAUAACUGACGCUGAUGCGCGAAAGCGUGGGGAGCAAACAGGAUUAGAUACCCUUGUAGUC
rnacentral:rRNA from 1 species